CCCAAUUCUGUUCAGUCUUGAUCUCUUCUGAGUCUCUCCUCCACUCACUCUCCAGUUCUUCACUUCUUCUUUUGCUCUCUCAGAUCAUUCACAGACGAGGCUAUCAGCCUCGCCAUGUCGCCGCCAUCUCCAUCGUCGGGUAACCUCAACAAACUCUCUCCUCUUCACGUCAGUCGAUCCUCACUAUAAAGCACAGACACACACAGCAGCGAUAGUCUUAGACCCUCCUCCUCUCUCUCUCUCUCUGCUGCCUAACCAUGAACCCAACCAUAACUUUCCGCUCAGCUCGCCAGCGCCGGACUCGACCCGGACCCAUCAUCAACGAUUUGAUCCGGAUCAAGGUGGUGCCUCCGCCUCAGCGAUCUGAUCCGGCUUCCGAUUUGGAAAGGCAGCAAUGGACAUAUUGCUGGGACUGAUGAAACGAUUGGUGAAGAGGCAUGCUUCGAAUUUGAAGGUUCUGACUACGGCAACUCUUGAUGGUGAUAAAGUAUCACAGUUCUUGAUUAUAGGAGGAGAAAACCCAGAACUCCAUAAGUGUUGUUUGCAACUUCGAUUAGAUUUUUUUUUUUUUUUUCGGGACUGUCCCGGAUUGGGCCCGGUCCCGGCCCGAUACCGAUCGGGUUCGGGCCCUUCGGGAUCAAUUCUCAAAAUGGCCUAAACCGUCCCGGCCCGUACCGAACUUUAUUUCCGGGACGGGCUUCGGGAUUACCACAAUUUCAGCCCGUCCCGGCCCGUGCCCAGCCCUACUUUUAACAAUUACAUGCAUAUUGUACCACUUUUAUUGAGAACUUAAACAUGUAAUUGCUCUGUUAACAACAUUAUGAAUGUGAAAUCUGACAUGCGACGUGCAUUUCAGAACCAUUUAACAGCUUAAGCAAGAU